UUAAGCAUUGCCAGGCUGCAUCAUCAAGCUAUGAAAAAUAGCUUGCCUCUCAAGCCUUCCCUACUUCCCCAUAUCAUUGGAAGCUUUACUUCUAUCCCUGUGGUAUCAGGGAAUAUCUUACUCCUAGAGGAGCCAGACAACAGUGACUUCCACAAUAGCCUCAUGUGGGAGUGAGAGUUAAUAACUUGAAAGAUGGCCGGGUACGGUGGCUCACACCUGUAAUCCCAGCACUUUGGGAGGCUGAGGCGGGCAGAUCACGAGGUCAAGACCAUCCUGGCCCACAUGGUGAAACCCUGUCUCUACUAAAAAUACAAAAAUUAGCUGGGCAUGGUGGCGCGCAUCUGUAGUCCCAGCUACUCGGGAGGCUGAGGCAAGGACAAUUGCUUGAAUCCGGAAGGCAGAGGUUGCAGUUAGCUGAGAUCACACCACUGCACUCCAGCCUGGCGACAGAGCAAGAUUCCAUCUCAACAAAACAAAACAAAACAAAACAAAACAAAACAAAAACUUGAAAGACUGCCCAAGAAAGGUGAAGGUUAGAUCUCAGGGGAUGAUCUUGAAGCAACUGAGACAGACCUAGAAACUUGCCUCAUAUGAUACAAGAAGACCCAGCUUCUUUGUCUCUACCCUGUAGGCACUGGGUAGACAGGUAGGUGAUAUUUUACUUCACAAACAAGGGAACUAAAAGUAUGAACAUUUCUCUGUUCCUCAUUAUCUCUGCCCUAAAAUAUUUUGGCUAUCUAGCCCCAGUUAGAGCGGACUGGCACUGUCUGGUACAGGAGGUAUGCAGCAGAUGUUCUGCAUCUGAGCUCCAUUAUGACUGUCCCCCAACAAAUCAUCCCCCAGCCAGCCCAAGGGAACGUGGAAUUCAGAGGGGAACUGUUCUAACCAGGAGCAGCCAAUUAGAUCCAGGCCAGAGAAACCCAUAUCCAGGCACUUUAUCUUUGUCCUAAAAUGAACCUAGCUAACCUCUUCAGGCUAUCCAAAACCCUGACCACUCCACAUAGAGAGACAUUUGCUAGCCUUACAUGUCACUUUCCACUGUACACAUACCAAUGACACCUGAACCAGAUAUAAAGACAGACCCACAAAGGUUCUGCUGAGCCUAAGGAUCUGCUCACCUAUUUCUGAUCCCGAAUGCCCCUGGGACAUCUUCCAGAAUGUGUGCCUCCAAAUAAAGUCUAGAAAAUUGGAGGAAAAUUUAAAUGCAGAUGAAUCGAGAAGGAAUAAAAGCCAUUAGAAAUUCUGGGAAAACAAGAAAUAUAGAAGAAAGUCACGGGGCUGGGUGUGGUAGCUCACGCCUGUAAUCCCAGCACUUUAGGAGGCCAAGUCGGGCGGAUCACCUGAGGUCAGGAGUUCGAGGCCAGCCUGGCCAACAUGGAGAAACCCUGCCUCUACUAAAAAUACAAAGAUUAGCCAGGCGUGGUGGCACAUGCCUGUAAUCCCAGCUACUCAGGAGGCUGAGCAGGAGAAUCGCUUGAACUGGAGAGGUGGAGGUUGCGGUAAGCUGAGAUCGCACCACUGCACUCCAGCAUGGGUAACAAGAGCAAAACUCCAUCUCAAAAAAAAACAAACAAAAAAAAACAAAAGUCACAACCCAAAUAUGAAGCAAACAAACUUUCAGAUGAUGAUGGUACAGUGUGUUUAUAACACUAACAACUCACUUUUCUCCCCACACAUAGCAAUCGUAAAAAUAAAAACAGCCAGGCACAGUGGCUCAUGCCUAUAAUCCCAGCGCUUUGGGACACAGAGUUGGGCAGAUCACCUGAUGUCAGGAAAUCGAGGCCAGCCUGGCCAAUAUGGCAAAACCCCGUCUCUACUAAAAAUACAAAAAAAAAAAAAAAAAUAGCUAGGUGUGGCGGUGAGUGCCUGUAAUCCCAAGUACCUGAGAUGCUGAGGCAGGAGAGUUACUUGAACCCAGGAGGUGGAGGUUGCAGUGAGCUGAGAUCGCAGCAUUGCACUCCAGCCUGGGUGACAAGAGUGAAACUCCAUCUCAAAAAAAUAAAUUAAUAAAAAAUAAAACAAAACAAAACAAAAACAAAGGCUUGGGCACAGUGGCUCAUGCCCAUAAUCCUAGCAUUUUGGGAGGCUGAGACAGGAUUGCUUGAGUCCAGGAGUUCAAGACCAGCCUGGACAAAAUAGCAAGACACUAUCUGUACAAAAAAUUAAACAAUUAGCUGGGCAUGGUGGCAUGUGCCUGUAGUCUCAGCUACUUGGGAGGCUGAGGUGGAAGGAUCACUUGAGCCCAGGAGAUUGAGUCUGCAGUGGGCUAUGAUUAUGCCACUACACUCCAGCCUGGGAGACAGAAUAAGACUCUGUCAAAAAAUAAUAAUAAUAAUAACAAAAAAGGAAAAGAAAAAGAAAACUAAAAGAUAUAGUCAGGCUCAAAUACCAGAUAAAGAUAUCCAAAAUCCAGAGAGCAAUAGAAACUGUGAACAGCGAAAAGGACUGAAACUGGGUAGCUGGUAGUUUGGCUUUUGUAGGGCAAAAGGGAUUGAAAAUGCUUCAUAGGAGAUGGGAGACUGGAGCCAGGCACAAGCUCAAAGACCUGAACAGUGGUGGGGCACCCUCAAUGUUAUGAAGAGAGAAUGAAAAUGAGCUGCUCCUAACUGCUGCUUGGGACCGUAGGUUCUAGUGAGCUGUAGGCCUAAGGUUUACAAGGCCAUAGCCUUGCAACCAAGAGAUAAGUCAAACACCCAAUGUUUAUGACUAGAUCUGCCCUGCUCUUAAUAUCUUCUUUGAUUCACUGCUAGUAGACUGUGUUCUGAUUUAGAGACCCGGACUGUGGAAUAGAAGCAAUAAAAAAACUGAUGGGCAAGGGAAGGUAAGGAGAGGGGUUGAGAAAGACAGAAAAAGAGGCUGGGCAGAGUAAGAUUCUGUCAGGAAAGAAAGAAAGAGAGAGAGAGAGA
rnacentral:lncRNA from 1 species